CCCUUAGAUGUCCUGGGCCGCACGCGUGCUACACUGAUGCAUACAGCGAGUACUCCCAGCUCCGAGAGGCUGCUGGUAAUCAGCAAUAUGCAUCGUGAUGGGGAUAGAUCUUUGGAAUUAUAGAUCUUGAACGAGGAAUUCCUAGUAAUCGCAGGUCAUCACCCUGCGUUGACUAAGUCCCUGCCCUUUGUACACACCGCCCGUCGCUCCUACCGAUUUCGAGUGAUCCGGUGAAUCAUUCGGACCGCGGCCCCUAGGCAUGCGGAAAGUCUAGUAAACCAUAUCACCUAGAGGAAGGAGAAGUCGUAACA
rnacentral:rRNA from 1 species